rnacentral:rRNA from 1 species
UACAGAGGGGGCAAGCGUUGUUCGGAAUUACUGGGCGUAAAGGGCGCGUAGGCGGUCUGGUCAGUCCCUUGUGAAAUCCCCCGGCUCAACUGGGGAACUGCACGGGAAACAGCCGGGCUUGAGUUCGGGAGAGGGAAGCGGAAUUCCGGGUGUAGCGGUGAAAUGCGUAGAUAUCCGGAGGAACACCGGUGGCGAAGGCGGCUUCCUGGACCGAUACUGACGCUGAGGCGCGAAAGCUAGGGGAGCAAACGGG